UACGUAGGGUGCGAGCGUUAAUCGGAAUUACUGGGCGUAAAGGGUGCGCAGGCGGUUCCGCAUGUCGGGCGGGAAAUCCCCGGGCUUAACCUGGGAAUGGCGUCCGAAACUAUGGGACUGGAGUGUGGCAGAGGGAGGUGGAAUUCCACGUGUAGCGGUGAAAUGCGUAGAGAUGUGGAGGAACACCGAUGGCGAAGGCAGCCUCCUGGGCCAACACUGACGCUCAUGCACGAAAGCGUGGGGAGCAAACAGG
rnacentral:rRNA from 1 species